UGCGGUUAUGAUGAUAUCGUGUUUAAUUCAACCAUAUAUCCAGCUUGUUUGUAUACUUUGAUGGCUAAUGCUGGUUAUAGGAUCUUGUUUGUAUACUUUGAUGGCUUGCGUGUAGGUGCCUAAUGCUGGUUAUAGGAGCAUUUUUGUGGACUUGAGGAGAAAUGUGUAGAGGAAAAGCUUUCAAUUUUGGAAGAAAUACGCAUACACAAUGCAAGUGACUGCUCCAGGAAAUGUUUAUAGCUAUGGAGUUGUACUGUUAGAGCUCUUAACUAGCAGAUUACCUGUUGAUGAGCAAUUUGGUGAAGGGAUUGAUCUAGUGAAGUGGGUACAUAGUGCAUCAAAGAGAGGCGAAAGUCCUGAGCAGAUAAUGGACACAAGGCUGAGCACUGUCUCAUUUUCUUGGAGGAAGCAAAUGCUAGCGGUAUUGAAGAUUGCCAUGCUCUGCACUGAUAUCACUCUAGGCUGAGAUGCUUCUUGAGGUUAAAUAAGCCCAGUCGUCGACUUUUAUGGGACUGAACUCAUGAUGUAGCUCAUAUUCCCUAAUUUUCAAGCGGUGUGUGUUAUGUGAGAUAAGUGCAAGGAGCUUUUAAAUGUUGGAAGGGAUACUUUGCUCAUGUCAAAUGCAAAGAUGUUUAUCUAUAAUUUUGUAUAAUCA